AAUCAAUUAGUAUAAGAAGUACGGUUAACUUCCAAUUAGCAGGUUUAAAUUUAUUGUAAAUUGAUUA
rnacentral:tRNA from 1 species